UGCCAGCAGCCGCGGUAAUACGGAGGGGGCUAGCGUUGCUCGGAAUUACUGGGCGUAAAGCGCACGUAGGCGGUGAACCAAGUUAGGCGUGAAAGGCCUGGGCUUAACCCAGGAACUGCGUUUGAUACUGGUUCGCUAGAAUCCGAGAGAGGGUAGUGGAAUUCCCAGUGUAGAGGUGAAAUUCGUAGAUAUUGGGAAGAACACCGGUGGCGAAGGCGGCUACCUGGCUCGGUAUUGACGCUGAGGUGCGAAAGCGUGGGGAGCAAACAGGAUUAGAUA
rnacentral:rRNA from 1 species